UGGUAAUAAAAAUAAUGACAUUGAAGGUUGUUUCUUCAAAAAAAGAGUAAUGGUUGAAUAUUUAUUAUAAGGGCAUAAAAGUAAAAUAAUGAACCAACUAAAUUUUAUAAAUAGUAAGUAGCCUAUAUAUUGGGACAUCUCAAAAUGGAAAAUCAGCCUAUAACUAUGGGACGGAGGGAGUAAGAAGUAAUGUGUAACUGCCAAAUGUUUACUUUGUAAAGAGUCGCAAGAACACGAGAACGUUGAGGACCUGCAGCAGCCAGAAUUGUGCAUGUCACAGCAGCAGCUAGAGCUUGCUCUAAUGCCUCUUCGUCGAUCACUCUGCCAGAAAACAAUUGUCAAAUAGCAUAGUCUACUUGAAAAACCUUUUUCAUUUAAUUAACAGCAGUAUAAACGUGACUUGAAAUACAAGGAAAAUGGUACAGAAUGAACCAACAUGCAAAUUUAUGCCGCUAGGCUAAUAUUUUUUUAAAAAACCCAGCCUUAUUAAUUACUAAACCCAGUUGAUAAAAAAUUACAGCAAUGAUAGUCACUUUUAUAGAAGAAACUAACAUCAAUCAAAAGUUUGAGUGACCUGAACCCCGGACUUCUCUAAAAUUAAAAGCUUUAUCUAGUUUCAAAAUAUAUGAAGAGAGAUUCCUAAAUAUCCACUUGAAAAAGAGAGAUAAAUAGAUAGGAUAAAAACCCAGCUCAAGGAAGGACUACAAACGAAAAAGAAAAUAGAUGCACUAAUGUCUAACGCAUAACGACUUUCUUUGACAGAGAAAGUUCCGCUGGCCUGAAUAGAAAUAGCACUUAGUAAUAAUGCAGUCAAUCCUUUGUAUAGGUUGGAGCUUUGAAGUUUGCCUUAUUACUAGAGAAAGGUGAAAUGACAUUUUCAACUUGCUCACGAAAAAUUGCCAGCAAAAUAAACUCAUAUAGUCAUAUGGUUCUUUCUAUUCUUAUUUUUUUGUUAUUUAUGGUCUGGCCUUAUCUAACCACAGCCAAACUAACAAAGAGAAGCGGGAAGAUCGGAAAGAAAAUAUUCAUAAAUAAGUCCAUGAUAAUAAUCAACUAAUUUUUCCUAGAAUACAUACUCAUCUUCAAUUUGUCGCUGCCGUUGAGCUCUAAUCGUUAGGGGAACCACAACACAGUCAUGGGAACUACAGAGUGGGACAUUUUAUCAAACACUUCAUGUGCAUUACACACAAACACUUCAUUUCAAAAUACUCAAAACCAUAAAAAUGAAUGGAACUCUAUAAACAUGCAAUCGGCCACAAAAUUAUGAUUAUUAUGAUAUAAGAAAACUAAAAAAGUUCAUUACAAUCUAUUAGAUAUUCUCAAUUGAGGUUUUCGUCUUAGUCCAAUUCCGCAAUUCAUGAAACAUAUAUUCUUAUUUCAGUACAAUUCAUGCGUAUUUUAAAAUUUCCCAUAGACAUGUUCAAACCAUUGCCUUAGUUCGUGGAAUGAAGAACAAAAAACCAAAACAAUUGACGUACCAUUAUUCAGUAGACCGGAGGCAGAUUUGGGUUAGAACAGACAGAGAGUGAGACGCGAUGUGGGGUUUUUGCCUUUGGGUUAGGGCAGACUGCAGAGGGUGAGAUUGGGAAUAUCCACCGAACGAUUUGGUUUGCCUCUGUACCGGAGAACGUAAAUUGGUCUCUGUUUUACAACUCCUUUUCCAAGAGUACACAAC
rnacentral:lncRNA from 1 species